UUAUGACUCAGUGGGUCGACCAGAACAUAAACAAGAUAAACAGCUGAUGGCUCAGACUAAAACACACAUGCUCUAAAUUCCUGCUUUCCUUUGUACGCUAUAGGUCCCGAUCAGGACAACGGAUCAUGGGACUCAGUCCAAAGGUCAAUCACACGUCAUCCUCCUAACCUUAAAGAGUAAGCCUGGCCUGGAGCUGCAGAAGAAGAUUAGGCUGGUCGGACGGUAGGAGAGGAUCAUGCAGACUGGUGUGUGUCACUUGAUGUCUAAUCAACAUGGCGGCACUGCGCUUCAUCUUCAUCCACUCUACUGUUGCAGCAGAGAGAGAGCCAUGGCCGGCAUGAAUUAUCGGUGAGGGAUUAGGCUGCCAUGAGCACACAGUAGGAGACAAUGAAGCGGGGGUGAACAGGCUAAAUGGGAUUUAUGCUUUCAUUUCAAACGCUUAGCAUAAUGAACCUGCGCCAGUUUCAUAUUAAUAUUUCAAGUCUUUAUGGAGCGUAGCAGCCUAAAUGCCUCUAAGAAUGUACUUACUGUGUGGUGAGUCCUUUAAUGGGGCCUUCCUUCUUUCAGAGUGUAUUAGUGACUUUGCAGUCUUCUGUCUCUAAUAUUGAAGGAAUCAUAUAACGAUUAUGUUUAUUAGAAAUACAACCUUUCAAUGUAU